GUGCCUCUUCACCGGCUUGCUGCCCACCUCCCUUCCUCGGCUUCCUGUUCACAAUGCUGAAUUACAAGAUCUAGGAUGAGGUUCAGUUCUUUUUCUAGGCUUCAAGAAACUCCCUUUUAAAACUUCAUGAUUAUGAUCAGAAAAGGAAAAGUUCUAGUAUCUACUUUAGGAAAACGCAGCCACAAUGCUCUUCAUUUUUUGGUUGCACGAGGCAGGAGAAGGAAACUUUUUUGUCCUACGUCAUUGUCCUUAGGAGCAUCUCACAGAAGCAGACCUACUCUUGAACUGAUCCCUCAUGUCAAAACGUGGGUGUAAUAUAAAUGCACCCCUGACAAAGCAAGAGUGAGAUGAAAUCAGCUUGUAAAAUAACUUCACCAAAAUCCUGACUACAGAACCCGGUGUGUUGGAGAGUUUUCCUGCUAUGAUUCUGCUUCGGUUUUUUGGGUUUUUUUUGUUGUUUUUUUGUUUUUGUUUUUGUUUUGCUGCAGGUCUCGCCUCUCUUUCCAGUGCCCUUUGCUGCCUGGGCAGCCCACAAGGCUUCACUUUGCACUUAUUACUCAUCAAACUGACGCUGGAUUACAGUGGGAAAGAGCAAAAGCUGAAGGCAGAAACGACAGAUGAAGGAAGAAAGCAAAAUACCAGCGCGAUGCCUCUGAGUUCUCAUUGCCUUUUCGUUUACUCAAGGCCUGGACACAUUUAUUUGCAUCUCUGACCUUAGGGGGUGGGAGCAGGAUGGAAAUGGUUUGGGCAUCUCUUCCCACUGAAAGAAUCCACCUCCUGGCCCAGCAGUGGGGCUGAAAAUUGGUGAAAUUUCGUAUAUUCUGCUGAUCUUUGAUUUUUUUUUCUCCUUGAGCUUCUGGUUAGAAAAAAAAUGUGGCUGAAGGGAACAGGGUUGCAGUUCACCCGGAAUCAGUACCAAGUAUCAAUAGCUAAUCUCUUGUCUUUUAAAGAAAGAGUCCUUCCUAUCAUGGGGUUUUUUAAAGCUAGUGAUAAAACAAAAAGCUAUUUUCUGAAACCAACCAAAUUGAAAAAUACCUGUUUUCAAACCUCGAGACUUCAAACCUUUAGUAGACAUAAUCAGGGAUGUUUUCAAUGAUUUCGCUCUUCCUGAUGUACAAUAGUUUUAUAAUCAGAAGUGGUAGCCCUGAAAUAAUAAUAUGGUCAUUUAUAGCCCUAUAGCUAGAGUAAAGAAAAGAACACAAACGUAGGGCAAACCAGGAAGGAAUUCAUCAGAUGAAAAUUAGGCAGUUUUCACCAUAAUUGACUCCCAUUGUAGAACUGGGAAGAGCAAGACAAUAUUAGAAAAGCAAAAUGAAUCCCAGUGAAAUGUAAUGACAGCUUCUCAGAGCUCCUUCCUCCAUCCAGGGUUCCGAAGAGUGUGUAGAAAGUACCACUGGUACAAAUUUUGACUAUAAUUUUGGACCAGCUCAAGACAUGGCUCAACAGAGUAUUGACAUGUGAUCCCAGAACAAGGUUUGACCGGGUAAUUUACUUUCUUGUACAUAUGUUUCAUUGGCCCCAGUCUCCCAGGAAAAAAAAAAAAAAAAAAAAAAAGGAAGGGAGGGACCGAGAAAGCAAAGCAAGAAUGUGAAUGAAGGCAGUGAAAUUAUGGCGAGAGCAGCUACUGUCUCCCAGGUCCAGUCACAACAUACAAAUGAAUCUAAACGCUGUAUAUUUAAAUUUUCUGUUACUGUUCAUAUUAUAGCCACUAUUUAUCUUGUGGCCCAUUUUUCUUCAGGUCUGAUCCUUUGAUAUUUGCAUUUUAUUUCACAACCUGACUUUUUUUACUCCAUCAAGCGUUAGGGGAAAAAAAGCAACAGCUUACGCAAUACCACAGUGCAAGGGAAGGCGGAGCUUCUCAGUAUUUGCAGACAUGUUAUUAAAUUCUAAUUCUGGCAAACAACAAAGAGGAAAACAGAAAGAGGCUUUCAACUGGAUGGUAAAAUGCAGUUUGCGUGACACCGUUGACCGUCAACGACAGGAUGCCUUCUUUCACUCACCUCCCAAACAAGUACUACGGAUCUGAUACUCAGGAAACAUUACAUUCAAACUUUGCUUUCAAGCUAGUAUAAGGAAACGUGCAGCCAGCCCAGACCCUCAGGCCUGCGCAUCAAGAUGGCAGGCUGGCCAAGGGUCCUCUGGGGACAGCAGCGCCAGAAGGAGGAUUGGACACGGUGACCCGUCUGCAUGAGAUGAGGAAAAAAACAACAACAACCAACAACCAGGAGGUCUGUAAUACUGAUGAACUAAUCUGUCACUCACCAGCUCAGGUCUGCAAAAAAGAAAAAAAAAAAUGUAGUAAACAUUUAAUGACCA